rnacentral:rRNA from 1 species
CAGCAGCCACGGGAAUACGGAGGGAGCUAGCGUUGUUCGGAAUUACUGGGCGUAAAGCGCACGUAGGCGGCUUUGUAAGUUAGAGGUGAAAGCCUGGAGCUCAACUCCAGAAUUGCCUUUAAGACUGCAUCGCUUGAAUCCAGGAGAGGUGAGUGGAAUUCCGAGUGUAGAGGUGAAAUUCGUAGAUAUUCGGAAGAACACCAGUGGCGAAGGCGGCUCACUGGACUGGUAUUGACGCUGAGGUGCGAAAGCGUGGGGAGCAAACAGGAUUAGAGACCCCAGUAGUCCCUGUCUCUUAUAA